rnacentral:snRNA from 1 species
AUGCUUGCUUCAGAAUACCUAUACUAAACAUUGGAACAAUGCAGAGAGGAUUAGCAUAGCCCCUGUGCAAGAAUGACAUGCAAAUUCGUGAAGUGCUCCAUAUUUUU